rnacentral:rRNA from 1 species
CCUGAACGCUGGCGGCGUGGCUAAGACAUGCAAGUCGCACGGAUGUAGCAAUACAUCAGUGGCGAACGGGUGAGUAAUGAAUCGCUAAUGUACCCCCGGACUCUGGGAUAGCUAGCCGAAAGGUUAGGUAAUACCAGAUGAUAUACCUUUAUCGCAUGAUAGAGGUCUCAAAGGUCCGCCGGUCUGGGAGCAGGCGAUUUCGUAUCAGCAGUUGGUGAGGUAACGGCUCACCAAGGCGACGACGCGUAGCCGGACUGAGNGGUUGGCCGGCCACAUUGGGACUGAGACAC